rnacentral:tRNA from 1 species
GGCUCGGUAGCUUAGUUGGUAAAGCGCUCAUCUAGCAUGCAAGAGUCGUGGGUUCAAAUCCCAACCGAGUAC